AUAAAGGCUCUUCUUAGAGCCACCCACAAACAGAUUUCAGUGUAUU
rfam:Schistosoma rodhaini strain Burundi genome assembly, scaffold: SROB_scaffold0012546